UCCGUUCGGUAAACCGAUUAAAGUUUUUGCAAUCCGGAUGCUGUGAAACGUUCGAGUUUAACGUUCUGUUCACCGCAGCUCCGUUGGGAUUCAACCAAUACAGUGUUCCGAGGAAAAGUACCGAUGUUCGCAUUUGAAGGAAGCAAUUAAUGGAAAGAAAAAAAGGGCGCAGAAACAAUCAUAGGAAAGUUUGGAACGGCUGAUAAACGAAGAGAGGGAAAGAGUUGAAGCGUUCGGGAGAAAUGUCGAACGAAUGGGGCGACUCGACGGGGUUCGAACGAGGAAAUGGAAAACUGCUGGGCGAGAUUGCCAGACGAGUCGAACUCAAAGGCCAUGGAAAUCUCGCGAAUGGAAAGAGCCGCUCAAACUUUUCCUCCCUUCUUCUUCCAAACCUAUGGCACGAGAAAGGAACGGGAAAAGUGUGCAGCAAGUUUCGCGUGAAAGUUCGGUGAAAAGAAAGCACACAAAAUCCAUAAACUCACGAUCUUUCGUGACACGUGUUAAAGGAACGGACGGUAUCCCUUUAUCAUCGUAGGAAAAAGAGAGGGAAAGAAAAAAAGGGGAGAACGAAGUAUUUGUUCUUGCGUCGAACACUUGGGACGGAGGUAAAGUAAUACCGGUCGAGCUUCGUUGAGCAUAAGAAGCUGCUCACGAAACUAAUGUAAUUGAGGGACGUUCUCGUGUAAUUAUUUGGCUACAACACUUUGCAGAUCAAGAAAUUUACAGUGCUUUUACAGUUUCUAGUACACAGUACUUUAGUCGAGUCUACUGAUCUGUUGCUUGAACAGACACGUAUUCUAUCUUUUAUCUCAGCAGUAACGUAGAAUAAUUUCCAAUUCCGAAAAGAUGGUUGUUAAACGUGAAAGCAAGAAGGCUGUUGACAUUGCUCGUUUCUUUGAUGCAUACAAUGGAAUCAGAACUUUUGACCUAAUUAAAGCAAUUCUGAGGAGACGGGUGGUUCACAGUCUGUAUAAAGGCAGUGAAAACUCGCUUAAUUACCAUUCUCCUAGGAACCAUCCAAGAGGAAGGAUCGUCUUCUCUAAAAAACCGCUUACCCAAUGACCCGUUUCAACUUUCCUCUUUAAUUCUUUGCUCUUACUUUUCUUUCUCGUCUGGAAAAUUCUUCUAUUUUAACAUUUCCUCUUUUAUUCUCUCUCAGACACUUCUGUGAAAUUGAACCGUAAUUUGACACCAAUUCCUCGCUUUUUUUUAAUUAUUAGAAAUAAUCGUUAUUCGAUAAAUACGAGGGAGGUUAUUAUUUUGAAGUAUUCACGAGUAUACUAAUAAGGCGAAGAAGAUUACAAUAUGGUGGGAACUAAACAGAUGGAACGAGCCAAAAACAUUCUUUUCUUCCAUUUCACUGAUUGACCAGCUCGUUAAGGUGCAACUAUCCUUGACUCGCAACUUUUUAAACAUCUUCUGUGAGAGGUCACAAAAGAGAGGUUGAAAAACAGGUCAGCUGGAGGCUGGAGGAAAAAUAAAACUCUCACAGCACAUCGGGGCGAGAAGAAGUUUCCCAGAGAGUAAUUUCUCGAUUCGGACUGUUCAGAAGACAGAGACUUUCGGUUUCAAGCCCGUUGAACGUCGACGCGGUCCGUCAAAGCGAAGAAGAAUUGUCGUGAAAGUUGUCUGUUCCAUAGACGCGUCGCGUCGCAUCGCGUCGCAACGCUCAAGGCUCCUCUGAACCCUGCUUUCUCCGCGUUCUUUGCUCGCGUGUACGUACAUGGGAUAAGCACUCGUUAUUGCAGCGAGCACUUACCCCGUCUAAGAGUAAUUGCAGAAUCCUCUGUGGUAGCGUCGGCGGCGGAUGCUUUUCACCGCUAAUGAAAGGCACUGGAAGGCAAAGGUGCGUGUACCGUCCUGUAGUGUGCUCAUCUGAUACCUUGAAAGCAGCUCAUCCUUGUAAAUCUACUGGCCCACCGCGCCACGUCACUUGAAAGGAACCACCACGAGAAUAUCAAUUUAAUUACCAACGACAAUCAACUCCGUAGCGGUUCAGCUUUUCACGUGUGUCGCCGAGCAUCGACGCUUCCUUUUGGAAUCGCGAGCUUUAAUUAAACGGAUUGAAUUGUGAGGGUUGAACGACGAUAGCGAUGAAAAGCGAAGCCAAACAAGAUCACCUCGACUGCACAGGGAAUAAAGGAAUCGUCCCCUGUCUCGACUAGAUGAAAAUGAGGACAGUGGUGUGAGAAAUUAAAAGCAGUCAGAAAUUCCAGCUACAAGUCGGAGAAGAGGUUUGAGAUUCGCGAAACGUGCCGCGCCGUUUUGUUCGCUAUCGUGCCACGGAAUAUUCCUCAGGGAGUAUUCUUCCCGAUACUUCCGAUUAAUCGAGAAUCUGUACCUGUUUAUGAAUCUGUAUACAUAUACGUGUGCGUAUGCACUUUUAUCGUUGGAAGUAAACUGAGCAGGCAGUAAAAUGAGCACGCUUUUUCUCUAUCGAUUAAUUUAAUAACAAAAAGUUUUUUAUUGAUUGGAAAAUAAUAAAAAGAAAGGAAAUAAUGAACGUACGUUGAUGUUAAUGAAUAUCUAAAGAUAUAGUAGUGUGGAACGCUCGCGUCUGAUAUAUGAUUGAUCUAAACUACUUACUGGUACUUCUAUACUCGUAUACAUACAUAUACUACUGGUGGCAAUUGCAACGCGCGGCAUGCAAUUCUAUUACUGAAUACGUUAUUGCGCGAUAGUUCUAUGGCAGAAUUUAACGUAUUUUAUUGAUUAUUAUAUCAGAUUGUCAUAUUUUAUCGAGAUAAAGCGUUUUCAGCCAACAACGUUUUCAGUGUUAAAAUAAAUUUAUAUCGCUCCAGCAGAUAAAACGUUCGUUACUUUUGUCUUCAAUUUGUUCAUUUUGAAAUUGUUCAUGUCGAGAAUGUACCGCGAGAACAAAGUGAAAAUCUAAAAAGCGAGUGAAAGCCCUUACAAGCUUCAUUGUGGUCUGCGUUUUGACUGGAGAAUUCAUGAACUGAAUAAUUCGAUACCUGAGAGUAAUUCACUUGACUGAUGCAAUUAACGUAAUCAACUCGUUUGAACGAAAGCAUUCGCGUCGUUUAAGUGACAGUAGAGACGAGUUGUCUGCUCGCAAAACCAUAAAAGCUUUGUUGCCACGACGUAAUAAUAUUCGGAAUGAAAUAACAGCGACGAACUGCGCCAUCCAAACUGUGAUUCAGCGAAAAUUUCAUGAAAUUUUAAUGUCAAUUACGGUAACUGACGUCUCGUUUACCGUGCGAUUGACCUCGAUCACUUAAUUAUUCGUUCUCGUAUAAUAGUCGCACGAAUAAAUUUACUACCGUUAUUAAUUCGAGAAAAUUAGUCGAUAGGUUUGCAAUUAUCGUUAAGCCAAUAUGUGCUACUGGGUUAUUGCCUUCAGCUCUGUUAAGUUUGAUUUUCUAACGGAAAACAAGAAAGUCUAAUAAUAAAUACGUAAUCUUGUGUAGGUAUGCAUUGUUCAGACUGUGCACUUUGUUGAUAACACAGUAAACUUUCGAAACUGUUCGUUCCAUUCGAAAUCAGCUACGAGAGCAGCGAAGCGAGAAGGUAACCAUAACCAAGUGGCAAUUUCGAAUCGUAGGAAGACAAUUUUUUCGCAAACGAGACUUUAUUACCGCCUGCAAGAACUUUCUCCAUUAACCAUGAAAAUGGUCACUCGGUAGAAUUAAGAGGCGUUAAAACGUACGCGUACAUUGUCUGGCCUCGGCUACAAUCUGUGCUUCCCUUACAUUCUUUCGAAAUGUAUUCGGAACGUGACCGGUAUCAAAUUGCCGGACACGAAGCUGUUUGAAUCACAGCCCCGCGGCACGAACCUCGCCAUUGUGCGCUACGGAACGAGGAAAGCUUGCCGCCAAAGGCAAGGGAAAUUAAUACCAAUCAUUAUCGCGCUUUUCCGCGAUAUACACUGCCAGACGCAACACAACAGAACCACCAACGAAAGGAUAUUUAUCACGAGCAAGAAGCAGAGGGGUUGCUCUCCCUUUGUGCGGUCACGCAAUUACGCGAACAACCGCGACCAAACGAAAGUCAUUAACGAGUCCGAUUUCACAGGGAGGAUGCUUCCUUUUUUCUUUCUCUUCCUUUUUUUUUAGAAUCGAUUCCGAACAGGAUUUUUCCAACAUCUCUGCUUCUAAUUAUUCACGUAAAGGGCGCUGCGCGCAAUUGUCAAUUACUCUUUAUCAAAUUGAAAAGUGUUUAUUAAACUUAUGUCAAUGAGAAAUUGUUAGACAGCUUCCUUGAUAUAGGUACACAUAUGCGCUGUAAAAUUUUCGUC